UUUGCUCACAGAAGCUCCUUUUUCAUCGGUGGAAAGGGGCCACAACGUGGGUGUCCCCUUCCAGCACGAGCGCGGGUCAGCCUCCUCGCCGCCUCCCUCCGUCCUUCACACUCUCUCUCCGGUUGUAUUUCUGCCUCCUCCUCCUCUUGCAGCUUCUCCUACCAGUCCUGACAAAAAAGCCAAGCGGCAUGAAGUAAAGAGCGACCCGACUCCCUUUGGUGUGCGAGGUUGGAGCAAAACAUCCCACUCACUGGAGGCACCUGAGGACGACGGGGGCUGGUCAAGUGCAGAGGAGCAGAUUAACUCGUCCGACGCAGAGGAGGACGGCGGGUUGGGCCCCAAGAAGCUGGUAACCAUGGCUUCCCUGUGGGCACUUGGGGUGGGGGCUGCCCUCCGGGGAUUAGGGGUGCUUCUGGCAGGUCCACCCAGGCUUGGGUCUUAGGACACAGCCCCAGCUCCUCCUAAC
rnacentral:sRNA from 1 species